ACCACAGGGAGGCGCUGCUCCCUUCAGUUAGUCAUUUGACACAAAUUCAUCACACAUUCGUCGUGUGUUUCUGAGUACGUAUGUCUUUCCUUAGAGCCUGUGAUAUGACCUUGCAGGGCCGUUUGGCUUGCUUCACACGAGAGUCAAGAUUUCCUAGGCGAUUCCACCAAAGGAUCAAGAAACUGGAGGAACAACCCUCUCAGCUUUGGGUGUAUUCCCAAAUGAAACCUUCCACUGCUUCUCCACAGGCCAUGCCGUCUGCUUCCUACUUAGGACUUUCACUCUUGCUGAUAUUGAGAGGGAUCAAUGGAGACUCAGUGACCCAGACAGAAGGUUCUGUUACCCUCUUUGAGGGGACACCUUUGACCCUGAAUUGCACUUACCAGAGUAGCUACACAGUUUUUGUUUUCUGGUAUGUCCAGUACCAAAACAAAGCUCCUCAAUUGCUCCUGAAAAGCUUAUCAGAAAACCAGAGGGCAGAGCAUCACGGUUUUCACGCCAGUCUUGUUAAGAGCGACGGCUCCUUCCACCUGCAGAAACGCUCCGUGAGAAUGUCAGACUCCGCUGUGUACUACUGCGUCCUAGGAGGCACAGUGAGAUCGCCUGCAGGGGGAGCCGAGCACAAACCCAGAGGGGGGCAGGAGGGCCCUGGAUGUGAGCAGCCUGGGAGGGGAGAAUGAUGAUUUCUCUCUAGUUAGAGUCUUGUGCUGGGCGCGGGCCCCCAGGGAACAGAUACCUGAUGCCUCCGCCCUCAGGCACCCCGAGUUUUACUUCGAGCUAGGAAUGGAAGGAGGCAAUGGAGGUGAAAACUUAGAUUAUCAUUAUGCCUAUACAUAGAAUCCUAUAGUCAAUGGCCUUUUGUGUCUGGUUUCUUUCACACAGCAUCACCUUUUCAAGGUGUAUCCAGGUAUCAGUACUUUAGUACUUCUGUGGCUGCGCAAUAAUCCAUUGUAUGGAUACCCUAUAUUUUCUUUGUCCAUUCAUCAGUUGAUGGGCAUUUUGGUUGUUUCCACUUUUUGUGAAAACACUCAUGUACAGGAGCUCUGCUCUUUCAAACUUGAAUAUAUUUUAAGUUAGAGAUUUCUGGGUAUUUUUUCGUUUUGUUUUUUGCUUUAUUUGGGACUAACGUUUCUUUGUGGAUAUGCAAUUGAAUAAAUAUGAGAAAAUGCUCCUUACAAAUAAUGACUUAUACUAAAGUAAGAUAUUAUUCUGAGCUAUAUAUAUAUUCAUUCAAGAAAAUUUGGCACCUACUCAUAUGUGCCAGUCAUUUUAAUAAGUAUUGGGAAUAUAUUUUAGGUAACAGAGUCUCCUCCUUUAGGAUUUUAUAACAUAGUGCAUUAAAAUACCACACAAGUCUUAAAAUUAUGCUUUUUUUUUUUUAACAAAUCAUUUUAUUCAUUUAUUGAACUGUGUUUGUUCCUAAAUAUUUGUGGUGCUUACA